rnacentral:rRNA from 1 species
CCUACGGGUGGCUGCAGUGAGGAAUAUUGGUCAAUGGACGGAAGUCUGAACCAGCCAAGUCGCGUGCAGGAUGACUGCCCUACGAGUUGUAAACUUCUUUUAUAAAAGAAUAAAGUGAGGCACGUGUGCCUUUUUGUAUGUACUUUAUGAAUAAGGAUCGGCUAACUCCGUGCCAGCAGCCGCGGUAAUACGGAGGAUCCGAGCGUUAUCCGGAUUUAUUGGGUGUAAAGGGAGCGUAGACGGCCGGACAAGUCUGAAGUGAAAUGCCGGGGCUCAACCUCGGGACUGCUCUGGACACUGUUCGGCUGGAGAAUAGUUGCGGUAAGCGGAAUGUCUGGUGUAGCGGUGAAAUGCGUAGAUAUCAUACAGAACACCAGUGGCGAAGGCAGCUUACUGGGCU